CCUAUAUUAAAUCUCUAAUCAGUUAUUUCUUCCCUCACCAAUCGUUCUCUGCAAUCAAAUUUUUCUUCUUCAACUCCUAUCCAAGUAAUCAAAAUUCUCCAGCUUCAAGAACCUGCUUUUCAGCCUUGUGAACUUCACAGCCCAAAUUCAAUUCAAAGAGGUGAUAUCUCGCAAGGGAAUCGUGAACGCAA